UACGUAGGGUGCGAGCGUUGUCCGGAAUUAUUGGGCGUAAAGAGCUCGUAGGCGGCCUGUCACGUCGGAUGUGAAAGCCCGGGGCUUAACCCCGGGUCUGCAUUCGAUACGGGCAGGCUAGAGUGUGGUAGGGGAGAUCGGAAUUCCUGGUGUAGCGGUGAAAUGCGCAGAUAUCAGGAAGAACACCCGUGGCGAAGGCGGCUCUCUGGUACGUGACUGACGCUGAGACGCGAAAGCGUGGGGAGCGAACGGG
rnacentral:rRNA from 1 species